ACGCGCGAAACCUUACCAGGUCUUGACAUCCUCUGACACUCCUAGAGAUAGGACGUUCCCCUUCGGGGGACAGAGUGACAGGUGGUGCAUGGUUGUCGUCAGCUCGUGUCGUGAGAUGUUGGGUUAAGUCCCGCAACGAGCGCAACCCUUGAUCUUAGUUGCCAGCAUUAAGUUGGGCACUCUAAGGUGACUGCCGGUGACAAACCGGAGGAAGGUGGGGAUGACGUCAAAUCAUCAUGCCCCUUAUGACCUGGGCUACACACGUGCUACAAUGGAUGGUACAAAGGGCAGCAAAGCGGUGACGCCUAGCAAAUCCCAUAAAACCAUUCUCAGUUCGGAUUGUAGGCUGCAACUCGCCUACAUGAAGCCGGAAUCGCUAGUAAUCGCGGAUCAGCAUGCCGCGGUGAAUACGUUCCCGGGCCUUGCACUCACCGCCCGU
rnacentral:rRNA from 1 species